GGGGCAUCAUGAGGUAGCAAUACCUUGAUGGCGACCGGCGCACGGGUGAGUAACGCGUAUGCACCUGCCCGAUACCGGGGUAUAGCCCAUGGAAACGUGGAUUAACACCCCAUAGUCCUGCAUGGGUAAAUGUUCAAGGUAUCGGAUGGGCAUGCGUCCUAUUAGUUAGUUGGCGGGGUAACAGCCCACCAAGACGAUGAUAGGUAGGGGUUCUGAGAGGAAGGUCCCCCACAUUGGAACUGAGACACGGUCCAAACUCAUACGGGAGGCAGCAGUGAGGAAUAUUGGUCAAUGGACGUAAGUCUGAACCAGCCAAGUCGCGUGAGGGAAGACUGCCUAUGGGUUGUAAACCUCUUUUAUAAGGGAAGAAAAGUUCUACGUGUAGAAUGAUGCCUGUACCUUAUGAAUAAGCAUCGGCUAACUCCGUGCCAGCAGCCGCGGUAAUACGGAGGAUGCGAGCGUUAUCCGGAUUUAUUGGGUUUAAAGGGUGCGUAGGCGGUUUAUUAAGUUAGUGGUUAAAUAUUUGAGCUAAACUCAAUUGUGCCAUUAAUACUGGUAAACUGGAGUACAGACGAGGUAGGCGGAAUAAGUUAAGUAGCGGUGAAAUGCAUAGAUAUAACUUAGAACUCCGAUAGCGAAGGCAGCUUACCAGACUGUAACUGACGCUGAUGCA
rnacentral:rRNA from 1 species